rnacentral:rRNA from 1 species
UACAGAGGGUGCGAGCGUUAAUCGGAAUUACUGGGCGUAAAGGGUGCGUAGGUGGCUGCGUAAGUUAGGUGUGAAAUUCCUGGGCUUAACCUGGGGACUGCGCCUGAUACUGCGCGACUAGAGUACUGUAGAGGAAGGUGGAAUUUCCAGUGUAGCGGUGAAAUGCGUAGAUAUUGGAAGGAACAUCGGUGGCGAAGGCGACCUUCUGGACAGAUACUGACACUGAGGCACGAAAGCAUGGGGAGCAAACAGG